GACAGGAAGUGGGUGUGUCCUACAAGGGAGUAGCUGCAACAGGAAGUGACCACAAUUAGGCCAGCCAGACAUCAACCGCAUAACAUUCGUUCUUGUUCUUCUCCUGUGAGCAUUUCUAUGUCAUCUACUGCAAGUUCUGGGAGCUCGACCUGGACGGCGACCUCGCCAUAGACUGCCAUCUCUUCCUGGAUGAUAGACUGCGUCUUCUCUCUCCGGUGCUGUCACCCAGUGAGCAGCCUGGGAGGGCGCAGCCCCUGUGCAGUGCCAGGAAGCUGGGCUAUGCUGAACUCAUGUGGUGCCUGCUCUCAGAGGAGGACAAGAUCACGUGAGGGGCGGUGCCCCAGUCAGCCAUGCCUCCUGCUUGCUCCUUACCUCGCUUCUCUGUGGUCACGCCCACCAACUCUGGCUUCACCCUGACAUGGCCACGCUGAGUACUGGUUCCGCUGCGUGGUGGUCGAGCUCGAGUUCUAUGAGGAGCAGGCCUGGCACAUGGCCCCCCAAGGCAUGGAGCUCCUCCUUUUCUGCCACCUCACGCACCAGGUCGGAUCACGCUUUGUGGCCUGAAGCGCUUGAGCCUGGCAGGUCUGUCCGACAUCAUGGAUCUCUAUGGCCUCACUAACGAUGACUGCGAUGACUUGGAGCAGCUGUGACACCCUACUGUGUGCCCGGGAACGGUGCACAUGUGCCUACAAGGGCUUCCUCCCGAG
rnacentral:lncRNA from 1 species